ACACCACCUAACUGACUUGCUUCCACCUUCCCAGUUCCCUCCCAUUUCCCGGUCAACCAACGUUCAUACGGUCGACCGGAAAUGGAGACAAUCGCCGGAGACUCCGUAUCACCUUACACACUGUUGCUCAGAAGCCUAGCGCUCAUACCUAUCUCUCACUACCUCUUAAUAGCGUUUUUUGUUUUGGUUGUUUUGGUAUACAAUCUACUCGAGAUUCAUAUCGUACAGGACAUUAUUGGAGGGUUUGGAGGUGAUUCUGUAUCUCUGACCUUCCAUUCUUCAUCCGAGUUGUACAGAGAAGUCGUAUCUAAGUGUCACCUGCUUCAUGGAAGAUACUUUUCCACUCCAUGGCUUUCUAGUCCGCAUCUUCAGACUAUUUUGCUGAAUGUUUUGGUCAAGACUCCUAGUUUCAGCUACAAAAGAGAGAUAUUUCGCACUUCUGAUGGUGGAACAAUAGCAUUGGAUUGGUUGAUGAACUCUGAUGUUUCAGAAACGAGCCUUCAAGUUCAUGGAACCAAUACAGAUGCUGUCAUUCCUCUUGUGAUAGUGAUUCCUGGCUUAACAAGUGAUUCUGCUUCCCCUUAUAUUAAGGAGAUUGCAUACAACAUGGCAAAAUAUGGAUGGAAUGUUGUUGUAAGCAACUAUCGAGGGCUAGGAGGUGUUCCACUCACUUCUGAAUGCUUCCAUCAUGCAGGAAGGUCAGAUGAUUUAGGCGAAGUAGUGAAUCAUCUUCAUUCCAAACAACCUGAAACUCUCCUAUAUGCUGUUGGAACUAGCAUGGGUGCCAAUAUAUUGGUAAAAUAUCUUGGUGAACAAGGGGUUAAUGUACCUCUUGCUGGGGCAGCAUCUAUCAGUAAUCCUUGGGAUCUUUUGAUUGGUGAUAGAUUCUUCAAUCGUGCAUUUAUGCAGAGGUUCUACAAUAGAGUUUUAGGAAAUUCCUUGAAAAGCACUGCCAAAUUACACCAAGAAGUUUAUGCUCGCCUUUCAGAUUGGGAAGGAAUUGAAAAGUCACGUUCAAUUCGAGAGUUCAGUAAUUACUCUUCUCGAAUUGCGGGGAAUUUUGAGGCUGUUGAUGAAUUUUAUAGAUGGGCUAGCAGUGCACGUUUGAUUAGCAAAGUAUCGGUUCCACUUCUAUGUGUCAAUUCCAUAGAUGAUCCUGUCUGUAGUCAUGAAGCCAUUCCUUGGGACGAGUGUCGGAGAAAUAAAAAUAUUGUUCUUGCUACCACACAACAUGGAGGACAUAUUGCAUUUUUUGAAGGAAUGCCGGGAAAAAGCUUGUGGUGGAUAAGGGUUGUUGAAGAAUACCUCUCUCAUCUGCAUGCAACCUCCUCAAUGAGCAAACACUAGACGUUGAUCGCUUUCUUGAUCGAGGAAUUUUCUUCUCUAAACUGUUGGGAAGUGGAUGUGGAUGUGCAACGGUGUUACCAUUUUGCUCGUUCAUGUUAAGAUUGCAGGGGUGGAUAUAAGAGCAACUUCGGAGCUCCAUAUCUCGCAUGAUAUCUCAAACGUGAUUCUGAUCAUGGGCGCUCUUGAAGACAUAUUCUUUGUCGGAAUUGAUCUUAUUAAGAACAUUCUGUGAUAUCAUGGUGAUGGAACAUGUUGUUUGUGGGUGUUGGUGGAAAUAAAUGAAGGUCAUUAAUCAUUGCACAUGUGGCGUCGAGUCGGUAGCGAGUCUGUGUUAACUCACCAAUUUCGUUGGCAGAUGACAAGACAUGGUUACCUCCUAAAGUAGGUAAAUGUACCUUUUAAAACGGUAAAACAAAAGUUCGUACCCCUAUGAGGCAAAAAAAGGUAACAAUGAGCCUUUUAAACCAAUAUAUUAAAUAUUGUUGGGCUAACAAUAACCCUUCAUGUAAUUUACUCUAUAGUUAAUAUUUGCAAUUUUUUUUAAAUUGAUAUUGGA